GACGGAGGAUUCAAGUGUUAUCCGGAAUCACUGGGCGUAAAGCGUCUGUAGGUUGUUUAAAAAGUCUGCAGUUAAAGGUUGAAGCUUAACUUCAAAAAUGCCGUAGAAACUUUUAAACUAGAGGAUGGUAGGGGUAGAGGGAAUUUCCAGUGGAGCGGUGAAAUGUGUAGAUAUUGGAAAGACCACCGAUGGCGAAGGCACUCUACUGGGCCAUGACUGACACUGAGAGACGAAAGCUAGGGGAGCAAAUGGG
rnacentral:rRNA from 1 species